rnacentral:rRNA from 1 species
AUUGAACGCUGGCGGCAGGCCUAACACAUGCAAGUCGAGCGAGCGGCGGACGGGUGAGUAAUGUCUGGGAAACUGCCUGAUGGAGGGGGAUAACUAUUGGAAACGAUAGCUAAUACCGCAUACUGUGAGAUGGACCUGCGUUGUAUUAGCUAGUUGUUGAGGUAAAGGCUCACCAAGGCGACGAUACAUAGCCGACCUGAGAGGGUGAUCGGCCACACUGUGACUGAGACACGGCCCAGACUCCUACGGGAGGCAGCAGUGGGGAAUAUUGCACAAUGGGCGCAAGCCUGAUGCAGCCAUGCCGCGUGUAUGAAGAAGGCCUUCGGGUUGUAAAGUACUUUCAGCGAGGAGGCGUUACUCGCAGAAGAAGCACCGGCUAACUCCGUGCCAGCAGCCGCGGUAAUUC